AUACGUAGGGUGCGAGCGUUGUCCGGAAUUACUGGGCGUAAAGAGCUCGUAGGUGGUUUGUCGCGUCGUCUGUGAAAUUCCGGGGCUUAACUCCGGGCGUGCAGGCGAUACGGGCAUAACUUGAGUACUGUAGGGGAGACUGGAAUUCCUGGUGUAGCGGUGAAAUGCGCAGAUAUCAGGAGGAACACCGGUGGCGAAGGCGGGUCUCUGGGCAGUAACUGACGCUGAGGAGCGAAAGCAUGGGUAGCGAACAGGAUUAGAUGCCCUGGUAGUCCAUGCCGUAAACGGUGGUCGCUAGGUGUAGGGGUCUUCCACGACUUCUGUGCCGUAGCUAACACAUUAAGCGCCCCGCCUGGGGAGUACGGCCGCAAGGCUAAAACUCAAAUGAAUUGACGGGG
rnacentral:rRNA from 1 species